rnacentral:rRNA from 1 species
UUAAGUAUUACUUCAUUUUAAUGAAGGUACAAGCCGACUCAGAACACAUGCAGUAGCAAUCACGAAUAUAGAUACAGAUCCUGAAACCUUCCAGGACAUAAGCGAGAAGAUAAAUUGGAUUGUCUUUUUAAUAUCAAAUCAAGGUCUAGAAAUACAUAGAGAUAUUCAGUGGUGGACGUUGUGAAGACAAUAAUAUUUUUUUUACAUUUACAAAAUGAAUAAUCUGAUCCUGUUAGGUAGUUGUCAAGCAUAUCUUACCAUCAACGUUGUGUGCAUCUAGGCAUGCUAGUUGUGCUAUAUUUAUGCCAGCUAAUGCAUUGUAACUUCGACCAAUUUUUCCAACAUAACCCGUGUGCUCUCUGCUCUCUGUGCUAUCCUUAGUCCCUUUCACUUUCAGAAAUAUCAUAAUAAGUGAAAAUGGAUAUACAAUUGUUUGCCAACAUUCAGUUUGUUCACAGCCAUGUUUGUAAGGCAACAAAAACAAAGAUGUAUUUUGUAUGCCCACAGUUUACCCAAGUUUUAGCAAUGAGAUGAAAGUUCCUCCCUGACAACAAGCUAAGGCCUUAUACAAAUUACUAGAACUGGAUCAGAGAAGCAAACGAUCUCACUUUAAGGAAGAAAUAGAAUAACUUAUCUUCAGUCCGUGCGUGUUAGGCCAUGGUCAGGGGUAGCGGAACCCAGCGUUGGUUCCACAGCACCGUCGGGGAGGAAGAAGCGGAGGCCAGAGGUUGGCU